GUUCAACUUAAUAAGCAUAUAUUAUAGUCUAAAAGGCUGCAUAUUUGUUCAGAAAAAAUUAUUCCUAUUCAAAAUUAUAAAAUCGAAAAAUUUUCAGCAUUUAGACUGGCAUAAAAUUAUCAACAUGGGACAAUUUUCUAAAUUUACAGCAAUAAUACAUGCUUGAGUAGUCAUUAGGUUUGCUCUCUAUUUUCCUUCAACCAAAUUGAUCAAACAAGAUGAUAAAUUGGCCGCAAAGUUGAACCGAGUAGUAGUUUGCAGGAUGGACAAAAAAUAACUAACGUGAAAACACAAAUGAACUGCCAAAACUUAAAACAAUACUUGUUUAAAGGCUGACAAAUAUAUUGCACAAAAUAACAAUUACAAAAUGCCUUUAUUACAUUUGAUGAGCACGAAAUAGAAAAUGUGUUCAAGAUUAAAAACACG
rnacentral:misc_RNA from 1 species